rnacentral:rRNA from 1 species
GAUUAACGCUGGCGGCGUGCAUAACACAUGCAAGUCGAACGAUGAAACUUAACUGAUUUCUUCGGAAUGAUUUUAAGUGGAUUAGUGGCGGACGGGUGAGUAACGCGUGAGUACCCUGCCUUGGAGAAGGGGAUAGCCUUUGGAAACGAAGAAUAAUACCCUAUGAUAUGAUAAUAUCUCAUGAUAUUAUCAUCAAAGAUUUAUCGCUCUAGGAUGGACUUGCGUCUGAUUAGUUAGUUGGUGAGGUAACAGCUCACCAAGGCAGCGAUCAGUAGCCGGCUUGAGAGAGUGUACGGCCACAUUGGGACUGAGACACGGCCCAGACUCCUACGGGAGGCAGCAGUGGGGAAUUUUGCACAAUGGGGGAAACCCUGAUGCAGCGACGCCGCGUGAUUUAGAAGGCCUUCGGGUUGUAAAAAUCUUUUGUAUGGGAAGAAAAUGACAGUACCAUACGAAUAAGGACCGGCUAAUUACGUG